rnacentral:rRNA from 1 species
UACGGGGGGGGCAAGCGUUGUUCGGAAUUACUGGGCGUAAAGGGCUCGUAGGCGGCCAACUAAGUCAGACGUGAAAUCCCUCGGCUUAACCGGGGAACUGCGUCUGAUACUGGAUGGCUUGAGUUCGGGAGAGGGAUGCGGAAUUCCAGGUGUGGCGGUGAAAUGCGUAGAGAUGCGGAGGAACACCGAUGGCGAAGGCAGCCCCCUGGGCUAGCACUGACGCUCAGGCACGAAAGCGUGGGGAGCAAACAGG